AACGCACCUUGCGCUCCUUGGUAUUCCGAGGAGCAUGCCUGUUUGAGUGUCAUGGUAUUCUCAAUUCCCUCAACCUUUGCCGGAUGAGGUGAUAUUGGACUUGGAGGGUCUUGCUGGCAUCCCCGCGAAGUCAGCUCCUCUUAAAUGCAUCAGUGUGAAUCCCGCUUCAUGCUCAGUGUGAUAAUUAUCUGCACUGUUUUUGGGCGCGGAAACUUCAUGCUUCCAACUGUCGCGAGACAAACCCCUUUGACAUCUGACCUCAAAUCAGGUAGGACUACCCGCUGAACUUAA
rnacentral:misc_RNA from 1 species